rnacentral:rRNA from 1 species
UACAGAGGUCCCAAGCGUUGUUCGGAUUCACUGGGCGUAAAGGGUGCGUAGGCGGUCGGGUAAGUCUGAUGUGAAAUCUCACAGCUUAACUGUGAAACUGCAUUGGAUACUAUCCGGCUCGAGGAAUGGAGGGGAGACUGGAAUACUUGGUGUAGCAGUGAAAUGCGUAGAUAUCAAGUGGAACACCAGUAGCGAAGGCGAGUCUCUGGACAUUUCCUGACGCUGAGGCACGAAAGCCAGGGGAGCAAACGGG